rnacentral:rRNA from 1 species
UACGAAGGGGGCUAGCGUUGCUCGGAAUCACUGGGCGUAAAGGGUGCGUAGGCGGGUCUUUUAAGUCAGGGGUGAAAUCCUGGAGCUCAACUCCAGAACUGCCUUUGAUACUGAGGAUCUUGAGUUCGGGAGAGGUGAGUGGAACUGCGAGUGUAGAGGUGAAAUUCGUAGAUAUUCGCAAGAACACCAGUGGCGAAGGCGGCUCACUGGCCCGGUACUGACGCUGAGGCACGAAAGCGUGGGGAGCAAACAGGG